CUUUAAAUAAGCUAAAUCACAAAGCUGCUGGGCUCAUAACCCAGAAAUGAAUAAUUCUUUAAA
rnacentral:tRNA from 1 species